AUUAGCAUAAGUGCCUACAGUCACAUUCUAUUUUUUGAAGUUUACGGCUUUCAGGGAGCACUUCUUGUUGGAAGUUCUAUUUAAAAAUUAUGGAAGGAUUAUGAUACUAGUGUCCACCUGAUAGAGGAAAACAAGGAAGGCAAGUGGGCCAUUUUAGAAAUCACAACUGUUAAGCUAAUUGCAAUUUUGAAAGUAAACCUAAUGGUACUGCAGAAAACAAGAAGAACGACUCUAAUGUAAUCCUGGCAGCAUUGUGAUUUCAAACUGCUAAACCAUGCAAUGUAUUUACUUUUCCUUUGUGUGGGCUUGCAUAUUUACCUUCACCAAGGAUAUUUCUCUGUUUCGUGGUUAUACAUUGCAGCACUCAUGACUGAUGAAUUAUUGUCAAGGACAAACUAAGGUUUAACAGGAUGGCCUACUACAAAUGGUGAAUAAAAUGAGAGCAAACUUGGGAAAGCAACUGCAAAGGGUUUCUCUCCCGCCGCCCAGGCUGGAUUGCAGUGGUACGCUCUCGGCUCACCGCAACCUCCACCUCCUGGCCUCAAGCAAUCCUCCUGCCUCAGCUUCCUGAGUAGCUGGGACUACAGGCACAAGCCACUACACCUGGCUAAUUUUUGUAUUUUUAGUAGAGACGGGGUUUCACCAUGUUGGCCAGGCUGGUCUCGGACUCCUGACCUCAAGUGAUCUGCCUGCCUCAGCUUCCCAAAGUGCUGGGAUUACAGGCGUGAGCCACCAUGCCCGGCCUGUCCCGCUUUUCAAGGUGUGAUGGUUUUGAACUGUGUCAACUUGGUUAAGCUGGAACCACAUUUUCCAGGAUCUCUUUUCCUGUAUGAUUCCAGGUUUAAGUUGACCAAAAGAGAAAUUUGCAAGAGUUCUGGAAAGAACCUCCUGAUUAGAUGUGGUGAGAGACAUAAACAAAGGGGUUAACAAGUUCAAACUGGUCCUCGAAUCUCAGUGUUCUGAGAGCAGCUCUCCUACCUGACUGCUGGCCCUGAUGACCACACCAACUCCCCGCACCCAUCACCAGAUGCAGAGUCAACAACCUUCUAUUGGCUUCUCCAUCAGUUCUCUAUGGUAGUCCCACCCCAGAGCUAGAUACCUGUGGCUUCCCAGAUUUCCCUUGCAAGCUCCCACUCAUCCACCCAUGGCAGUGUUUCUGAUCAUUGAAAGCAUGGAUGGCAGAAAAGAAAAGAAAAAAAAUCUGUGUGUUUAUUCCAAUGGGUAGAAAGUAAAUUUAAAAGUUUACUCUAUUGGGUAGAUGAUGGCCAAAGUAAACCAUUCUCCCUAAUCCUUGCAAUUACUCACAUACAACCUCCAUGCUAAAAAGAAAUAAAAAGUAAUAAGUAGCAAUUUGAUAUCUGAUCUUCCAGCUUUCCUUUCUCGACCUUGUUUCCCCAGAUGCUUCCACAAUUAUGUAAUAUCUAAUUGUUAUAAUCAGUUCCUCAUUCAUAACACUCAUAGUGGUUCUGCUUACCUGAUCAAACCUUGACUGAUACACGAGGCUCAGUUCAUGUAACUGCUAUUCCUUGAUCCCUUCUCUGACUAUUCUAGAGCAAUUUCUCUAUGCUUCUUUGGUACAAUGUGUUUGUGGCCCUCCACUGGCAUUAGUCAUAUAUUAGCUUGUACUGCAUUUACAUCGACAUAGGCCUUCAUGGUUCUAAGUGUAUGGUUGGUAUUUAGGAAGAGUUUAAUGAAUAAAUGAAAAUUUACACAGCCUAUGUGUCACCAUUCUCACACAUAGCAAACAUUAUUUAUUGAUCCCACCUCUUAUUCCCAUGACGCUUGAGCUAAGCCUUACAAUCCUUUUCAACACAGUGCUACAGAUAGGCAGUUGGAAGUGGCAUGGAUGAGGAAACCAGUUUUUCAUGCAGUUUCCGUAAGUCUGAGUAUGAAUUAUACUUUUUAGGCAAAUUAAAUAGCGUCAAAGGUCAUAGUGCAUGUACAGAUUGAAGCUCAGAUGCUACUUCCCUUCCCUACUUCCCACUCUACUGCCCCUAUUUUUCACAUAGUAGAUCCCCAAUAAGUAUUUGUUGAAUGAGAGAAUGUUAGUGUAACCUUCACAAAUGAGCUGUGUGAGCUCUACAAGCCAAAGUGACUCAACGAAGUUCCAAUCUUUUUUUUUUUUUUUUUUUUUUUUUUCUGAGAUGUAGUCUUGCUCUUUUGCCCAAGCUGGAGUGUGGUGGCCCGAUCUCAGCUCACUGCAACCUCUGCCUCCCAGGUUCAAGCAAGUCUACUGCCUCAGCCUCCCAAGUAGCUGGGACUACAGGCGUUAGCCACUACACCCGGCUAAUUUUUGUAUUUUUAGUAGAGACAGGGUUUCACCAUGUUGGCCAGACUAGCCUCAAACUCUUGACCUCAGGUGAUCCGCCCGCCUCAGCAUCCCGAAGUGCUGAGGGAUUACAAGCAUGAGCCACUGCACCCAGCCCCCAGUCCCACCUUUUAAAAUAAUGAAUAAGCAAAAGGCCAGAUAGAGUGAGCCUCUUGCAUUUUAAGAAGCCCAUUCCAGCCAUAACAGUCCUUUCUGAGCUAAAGAAGGCAAAGUACAAACACAUCCAGGCCCCAACUAACAACAACCAAAAUGUCACAUGUUGUCAGGUACUUGGAAAGAGGGAAAACCUUUCUAGCUUUUUUCCUUCUGGUGUUAUUAGCCCACUGCUUGGCAAUGACAUAGAAGGAAGACUGUGAAGAAGAAAAGAAGUUGGAGGGAAAGUUUGGAUUCAAAGGAGCCAGGUAGAAUUAGGUAGAAAAUACAGGGUCUAGAGAAGGAUAUUUUUUGUUCAUUUCUGAAAAAGGGACCCAAAUAAGCACGAUUGAUUUGACACUUGGAAAUACUAUUUUUGGUUUUCUCUCUUUUCCUUAAUUUUGCCCUAUCAACCAAGACCCAUAUCUCUAAGAAUUCUGUCAGGUACUUCCCAUUCCUGUGUUCAUUCUCUUAUUUCCUAUUCCUGUGAAUAAAAUCAGAUGAUGCCUCUGAUAAUCCUGGAAACUGAUCACUGAAAGCAUGGAUGGCAGAAAAGUAAAGAAAAAAAUCUGUGUGUUUAUUCCAAUGGCUAGAAAGUAAAUUUAAAAGGUUACUCUAUUGGGUAGAUGAUGUCCAAAGUAAACCAUUCUCCCUAAUGCUUGCAAUUACUCACAUACAACCUCCAUGUUAAAAAGAAAUAAAAAGCAAUACU
rnacentral:lncRNA from 10 species